UGCGGCGUGCUAUACAUGCAGUCGAACGAACUUCCGUUAAUUGAUUAUGGAGGUGCUUGCACUGAAUGAGAUUUUAACACGAAGUGAGUGGCGGACGGGUGAGUAACACGUGGGUAACCUGCCCAGAAGCAGGGGAUAACACCUGGAAACAGAUGCUAAUACCGUAUAACAGAGAAAACCGCCUGGUUUUCUUUUAAAAGAUGGCUCUGCUAUCACUUCUGGAUGGACCCGCGGCGCAUUAGCUAGUUGGUGAGGUAACGGCUCACCAAGGCGAUGAUGCGUAGCCGACCUGAGAGGGUAAUCGGCCACAUUGGGACUGAGACACGGCCCAGACUCCUACGGGAGGCAGCAGUAGGGAAUCUUCCACAAUGGACGCAAGUCUGAUGGAGCAACGCCGCGUGAGUGAAGAAGGGUUUCGGCUCGUAAAGCUCUGUUGUUAAAGAAGAACGUGGGUGAGAGUAACUGUUCACCCAGUGACGGUAUUUAACCAGAAAGCCACGGCUAACUACGUGCCAGCAGCCGCGGUAAUACGUAGGUGGCAAGCGUUAUCCGGAUUUAUUGGGCGUAAAGCGAGCGCAGGCGGUCUUUUAAGUCUAAUGUGAAAGCCUUCGGCUCAACCGAAGAAGUGCAUUGGAA
rnacentral:rRNA from 1 species